rnacentral:rRNA from 1 species
UCCCAGUUCGGAUUGUAGUCUGCAACCCGGCUACAUGAAGCUGGAAUCGCUAGUAAUCGCGGAUCAGAAUGCCGCGGUGAAUACGUUCCCGGGUCUUGUACACACCGCCCGUCACACCAUGGGAGCCGGAAAUGCCCGAAGUCAGUGACCCAACCGCAAGGAGGGAGCUGCCGAAGGUGGAGCUGGUAACUGGGGUGAAGUCGUAACAAGGUAGC